rnacentral:rRNA from 1 species
CCUACGGGAGGCAGCAGUGGGGAAUUUUGGACAAUGGGCGCAAGCCUGAUCCAGCAAUGCCGCGUGAGUGAAGAAGGCCUUCGGGUUGUAAAGCUCUUUUGUCAGGGAAGAAACGGAUGAGGCUAAUAUCCUUGUCUAAUGACGGUACCUGAAGAAUAAGCACCGGCUAACUACGUGCCAGCAGCCGCGGUAAUACGUAGGGUGCAAGCGUUAAUCGGAAUUACUGGGCGUAAAGCGUGCGCAGGCGGUUUUGUAAGUUUGUCGUGAAAUCCCCGGGCUCAACCUGGGAAUUGCGAUGAAGACUGCAAGGCUAGAAUCUGGCAGAGGGGGGUAGAAUUCCACGUGUAGCAGUGAAAUGCGUAGAGAUGUGGAGGAACACCGAUGGCGAAGGCAGCCCCCUGGGUCAAGAUUGACGCUCAUGCACGAAAGCGUGGGGAGCAAACAGGAUUAGAUACCCUGGUAGUCCACGCCCUAAACGAUGUCUACUAGUUGUCGGGUUUUAAUUAACUUGGUAACGCAGCUAACGCGUGAAGUAGACCGCCUGGGGAUACGGUCGCAAGAUUAAACUANAGAUGAG